UUUAUUUCCAACACACAAAGUCGAUUUUCAAACAAAUAUCUCAAUAUACACUCGACUUUAUACUUUUUUUUCUCUUUCUUUUUCUUUUCUCUCUUCUUUUUUUUUCUUUUUUUUCUUUUUUUUCUACAACUUUUCUAGAGCUUAUAAGAGUAAAUAGUAGCUCAAUAUCAUCCCUUCUUUUUCACAACCCACUAUGAAUAUUCACCACA
rnacentral:lncRNA from 1 species